AUGGCUGGAGACCGCGGCCACCUCGAUCCGUCCCGCAAGCGCGCUCCCGUGGACGCGGACCGGCUGAGCGACCUGCCGGACUGCCUCCUGGAGGACAUCCUCUCGCGCCUCGGGUCCCUGCAGGCCGUGCGGACGAGCGCGCUGUCCCGGCGCUGGCGGCACGUCUGGCGCUCCGUGCGCUGCGUCGACAUCGACCAGCGGGAGUUCCCCGGCAGCGGCCAUCCCGGCUCCCGCCAAUACCAGCGCUUCGAGGACUUCGCCGACACCAUGCUGCCGUGGCCUCCCGGCGCCGCGCAGCCGCCUCUGGACACGUUCCGCCUCCACUUCGCCGAUGCCAUGAACAGGGUGGCCAUGAACACUACGAGCUUUGGGAGGUGGAUCCGGCGCGGCCUCACGCGCCGCCCGGCCACCGUCGACCUCCAGUGCGGCUACGCCAAUGACUGCAUCCUGUGGCCGCCCCAGCACGUAGACAUGGGCGCCGCCGCCUGCCGCCUGACGAGGCUCCGGCUCUCCGGCGUGACGCUAGGAUUCUGCUCCCGGGAGGAGAUUGGCGGCCAGUUGCCGGUCCUCGAGGACCUGCACCUCGACAACUGCCACUACCACGGGGUCCUCACCAUUGCCUCGCCCACGCUCAAGAGCCUCGCAGUCACAAGUAAUUCGGUCAGUUACUUUACUGACACGGUGGCCAUCGCGGCUCCUCGCCUCGCCUCCCUCCGUCUCGUCCUUCCGUUCGGCCGCGACGGCAGGACCUCGGUGGUGACCAAAGCUCCAGGAAACGAGGCGCUGCCAUCGCUUGUCGAGGCGUCCAUCUGUCUAAACGAUAUGGACCAACGGGCUUACAAAGCCAAGCUCCCGUUCCUGAGAUCCAUGUGCAGCUUCCUCGGCCGACUAACCAAUGUCACGAAAUUAGAACUCUCGGGGUUCACAACCACGGCAUUGCUGGACCAUGAGUCUCAAGAUUUUCCGGUCCUCGAAAACCUAAGAACCUUGCUUCUCGACGGUUGUGAUAUUGGAGCAAUCAACCUCCAAGUGUUGAUGAAAAUCCUUGAGAACACCCCUAAUUUGGAGAAGCUCCGAUUGCACCGCUGCAAGGCACAUGCCUCUUUUUAA
rnacentral:rRNA from 1 species